CUCUUAAACAGACAUGAACACACUUGUUCAGGAUAUCUAUAAAAGCAGUAUUUUGUCCUCAGGUCAACAACAAGCUCAGCUCAAAGCACAGGACAACAACUGAAACCAGUGUCAUUCUCUGACUCUCUAGAUCUCAGCAGGAACAAUGUCGAACAUUGGUAAUACCGACAACAUCCACUUGGGCUGCAACUCAGGCAAAGUUGGUUCCAAUAAUGCCUUCACCGUUCAAGGAUGUGUUGGAACCAAUGCUGCUGUGGGCAACACCUCUUGCAUUGAUAUCAGAGGAAAUGCAGGAUGCAUUGGAUCAAGCAACACAGUUGAUAUGAAAG